GUGUCUCUUUUGUCUCCCCAGGAUUGGUUUACUGUGGAACGUAAGAUAAAGCAUAAACGAGGCUAUCAUCUGUAUGCACGAGGCUAUCAUCCAUAUGCAGGACACUUGCGUCGGCCCUCACACUCAUCCUGUGCCCACUCAUCCUGGGCAGGCCCAUCCUGGUCCAAAUUCUGUUGUAUAUGCCCAUCCUGCCAAGAUAACCACUCUCCCAGCUCCAGAAGACCCAGAAGGUUCUCUAUUCGGGUCCAGGCCUGUGGGAACCUCCGGGGUGGUUCCCAGCAGAGUUCCUGGCCCAUGAGGGGAGAGGAAAAGGAACUAGAAGCCAUCUUGAAGAGACUCUCCACUGCAGAGCCUGAGGAAGGUGACCUUGAAGACACAGACAAAUCAGGUCCAGGAGAUUUCUGAGUGGAUGGGGGUUCUGCACCUGCCCCAUUCCACAGGUCCCACAGGUCCUGUCUCUGGCUACCAUUCAUCACCUGUCAUUUGAGUCACCUGGGAGUGUCUGGGUCUCCAGUCUGAGUGGAAUGGGUGUUCCUGGGUGCACUUCCUUCCCUUGAUGCUGCCCCCGCCCCUGGCCAAUGUUAUCACUAUCUUUCCUCGUUUAUGGGGGUCUUGGUCUGCAGCCCAGUGCAGCGGUUGCCUGCAUCUCCAGGAAUGAAGGACCUCUGCUCUCCCACAAGGAUUUCCCCACAGUCUCUGCUGAGCCACACCCACAUCAGAUCCCCACCCCCAGCUGCCUCUUUUAGAGUCCAUAUCCAAUCCAUUUCCAUCAUUUUGAAAUAGUUUGGAGCUUUGUCUUAAUUUAGGUAUUUUUUCCCUCUUAUUUCCUUUUGGUCUUUGCUUUGUUACUUGUUU
rnacentral:lncRNA from 1 species